UUUGAUUUGUACGAGUAUGAUUUCGUGUGGAUAUAUCAUUAGUUCCUCUUGUGGUUCUAGAUUUUUUGAAUAUUUAUCUUGGCUCUAUUUUUUUGUCCCUCCUAAUAAAUAUGUAAUUCCUUUCUCUGCCUUUUGGUUUCAUUCAACAAGAGUGUGAAUUUGCCUAUUUGAUAAAUGGUGUGAUUUCUGAAUAAAAAAAGGUGUUGUAUUUUUGAUUGAUUAGUUGAUACGAAGAUGGGUCAUUGCUGAGUGUUUCCGGGGUUGAAACAAGAAAGGAAAAAUCCUAGAUACAUGGGUUCUAUUGAACAAAAGUUGAAACUGGGACUCUACUAUGAAGAGAUGAAACUAUUAAAAGAAAUGCAAGAUCAUUCUGGUUAGUAUCUGUUUUCCUACUACAAUAUUUUAUAUUUGCAUAGAAUUGUUUGAGUAGUAGACUGCAUAUUAAGUGGAUUUAAGUAAAAGUGAAAAUUGUAUGGAUUCAUGGUAAAGAUUCUUGAUUCAUUUCUCUUGUGAUCUUCGAAUGGUGAAUUUUUACUAUUUUAACUUGAUUCACUAUAGAGGAAGACACUAAAUUUUGAGCUAUGGCAUACUAGUGUUGGUCCAUUGGUUUCCUUGACUCAGGUUGGAAGCCUCAUGCACUAUUUUUCUUUAUGUCGUUGAACAUGUGAUAAUUAAAAGCCUUUUCCCUUUAUUUACUAAUUUUUCCCCUAUGGACUCGUAUUUUGCUUUAGGCAAUUCGAUAAAUCAAUUCUUUUGAGGAAGAGAAAAAUUUAUGAAGUGUGCCAAAUAUGUAAGAUGGAAGAAGAUGAUGAUAUUGGUUUGUAUGAUUGUUAUAUGCUUUAGAAUAUGGAAUAAAAAUACUAAUAAUUUGGCUAUGCUAAGGUAGUAAGCGGUGAAUGUAAAACAAACUAAAGAUUGUUGAGCAACAGUUCGAUUUUACAUUGCAGUCUUGACAUCAUUUUAUGCACCAACUAUAUGGUAAAGUUACUAACUUCGUUGUACAACCCAUAACACCAAUUGUUAAUAAAGAAUAAUUCGAAUGAAGAAAAUGAUGCUAUUGAGAAUGAAGAAAACAAAUUUGAUGAGAAUCACAACUUUGGUGAGGAUUAGUUGCACACAUAAUUCAUGAGGAUGAGAAGUUAUGUUUUCUAGGUAUAUGACAAUAGAUACAAAGCAAGUUUAUUAUACUCUUUUUAAAUUUAUGUGUAACUAUAUUUAGUGAAUGAUUUUUAUUUGUGUUUUGGUGCAAUGUUUUGAAUUCAAUAUUACAUUGAUUGACAAUAGGUGUCUUUAUUAAUUUAUUGUCCUUUGAAUUUUUAUAUUAUUUUUAAUAAGGUAAAAAAAAUAAUAUAAUAUAAAUAACAAACAAAAUAUAUAAAAAUAAUUUAAUUUCUUCCUACAAUUUUUUUUUUCAUUAUUUAGACAAAUAAAAGUCUACAAAUAUGUUUUCCCCACAAAAAAUUAUUUAUAGAGAAAACCGGGGUUAGCUCACAAAAUAAUAUUUACCAUGUUGCUGUCCAUAAAUAUUCUUUUUACACAAUAACUUAUUAGUAGGAAAAGUACAAUUUCUUUAAAUUUUGUAGGGAAAAGCAAAAUCGUUUCAUGGGCUAAACGUUACUUUAGUGGACAAAUGAUUUUUUCGGGAGAAAAUUUAUGCGACGCAUUUUAUUUUUUUCGAAAGGGUUCGUAGGGAAAAACAUUAGCACAAAAAUUUUAAAUUUUGUCAUCUUUUACCCAUCCCCUCGAUGUUUGCCAAAUAAAUAUUCCUACAAUUUAUUAUUUUUAUUUUUGCAAAAGUUUUUUUCCCCCACAAAUAAGAACCUUUUGCUACAAAAUAUAUUUUGUAGGGAAAGCAUAAUAUUCUUAUGUUUGGUAGGGAAAACGUAGAAUUCUUGAAGUGUGGCUCAUGGUAGUAUUCAACAAAGUUAAAGAAAUUUCUACAAUCCUCCACACCUACGAAGGUCUCUAUUUUUCUACAAUUAAAACUUUUUUCAAACAUGAGAAGACUUUCAUUGUCGAUUUUAAGAGUGGAAAUUGUUUUUUUCGACUCUCUAUCCAUGCCUUUUGGUAUGAUGACCUGAGAAGCAAAACCUUAAGAUUCAUAGCUAUUUCAUGAAAUAUGGUCUAUUAUUUUCUCUUAGUGCGAAACUUUCAAUCCAUGCCUUGUGGUUCAUUGUUUCCUCUUUCAUAUGAUGUCGUUGAAGUAUAUAAACAAGUUUUUAAUUGGAGCAAAACCAGUAACUCAUACCUUCAGUCACUAAUGCUCUGUUCGUUUUUGCAUGAAAAAUCAUUAGUCAUUUAUUAACAGAAAAAUACAAUUUUUUUCUUUGUUGUAAUAUUUUAAUUUGCCCAACAGUGAAUCCAAAUUCUUCUACUUUUUGGAGAGACAUGUGACAAGCCCUUUCAUACUCAAUCCCAUCCAUGUAGGGUCUAAAUAUGACUACUAAAUAAAAGGUAUCUCUUUGAACCAUUGUAGACUUCAUCUCGUUAACCUCUAGGGUCAUGUUACCCAAACAGUGUGGUAUCUACUAGGACUAUUAUAAAAUAGGUCUAUCAUAUGAAUCCUCAUUUAGUGUAGUUGGAAAGGAAUUAUGCCUUCAAAAUGGUUGCGUCCAAGUAGAAUAAUGCUCAAGCUUGAUAGGUAGCCAAUCCAUUGAGGGAUACUUACUAAGAAUUUAUUCUCUAAGAUCCUACAAAAAAUAAGGUCUCUAAGGACUAAUAAAAUUGGAAGGUAAAAGGAAUAUUUUGGUCGCUAAAGAUCAUUACCAAAAUAUUAUGGUCGCUAAUUUACAGUUGGUGAAUGUCUUUGGUGACCAAUGACAAGUGGUCAUUGAAUUGUAUAUAUUCAAUGGCCAAAACAAUGGUCAGUAAUAGGCUCGAUUUAGAGUAAAAAGUUGAUUAAUUUGCAUCCUUUUUCAACUAAAUGUUGGUCGGUAAAAGCAUCAGUGUGACACCUCAUACCUCAAAAUUAGUCAUUAUAUUUAGGGCUUUAUCACGUAGAUAGUAUAGUCUAGGGACCUAAUUGAUUAAUGUCUAAUAUUUUAGGGAUUAAGCACAAAUAUUUGAAUCUCAAAGUGAUAGAUACUCUAAGAUAUUGUGAUAAUAUUAAAUAAAUAAAUUCGUUUAGAUAUUAUAAUUAUUUUUAAAUAUUCAACAUUAUCACAGAUUCUGUUAGAUAUUAUGAUUAUUUUUAAGUAUUCAGCAUUAUCCAAAUUUUAUUAGAUAUUAUCUUAUUUUUAAAUAUUCAAUAUUAUCACAAGUUCUAUUAGAUAUUAGGAUUAUUUUCAAUUAUUUAACAUUAUCACAAAUUAUGUUGGAUGUUAUGAUUAUUUUUAACAUUAUCACAUUUUUUUGCUAGAUAUUAUGAUUAUUCAACAUUAUCACAAAUUUUGUUGGAUAUUAAGAUUAUCUUUAAGUAUUUAAAUAAAUUAUGAGAUUUAUCCCAUGCAUCAUCGGUAUUCUAUAAAUAGGUGCAUGAUUUUCAAGAAAUUCACACCUCACUUUUUCUCCUCUCUCACAAUCCGUCUUACAAACAUAUUUCAUAUUACAAAAAUCUUUUGUACUCAAACUAUUUAAGAAAACUUUGGAAUGAAAACCAAGGAAGCCAAUUUCUUUGAUUGUCUUUAUUUUUCCCCACACGAGGGCAAGUAUAUACGUGUUGUUAUGUUCACUUUUGGAAAUAUGGUUAUGGGUCCAUAUGUAUGUUCUAUGUUUUGGACUAGAGUUCAAGUAGCGCUACGCACGUAAAACUCAUACCACCUAAGUUCGGUAUAGUUUCAUGUCUCUUUUGUGCAAGUUCUAUGAUUCCAAAAGGUAUAUAAUUAGAAACUUAUGAGCACGUAUAUGUUUAUGGAGAUUUUCUCACCCUUAUGUUUUUCCCCUUUUAGAUAACUAAGCAUUGGGAAGAUUGGAGCUUAGACUUGGUCGUGGUGGUGGAAAUAAAUUUUGAAAUUUUAUGAAUUUUCCUUUCGAAUUAAUUAUUUAAUAUAAUAAAGAAUGCAUAAGAGAAAAUAACUAAAAUAGAGAACUUAACAAUAAACAUACAACAGUAACUACAAAAGUGUAAUUACUACCAAGUUCGAUGUGGUCGCUGAAACCCACCAUUUACAAACUGAAAAAGGUGGGGUUUUCCCUUACGGCUAGCAACGACAACAAAGAGGUUGCUGAAGGAUAUAGCUCCACCGACCAAGUUCAAUUUGGUCAUUGAAAGACUCAUUAAUUAACACGCAAACAAAGGCAGGAUUUUAGGUGGGAUUAAGUAUAAGUGACGAAACUAAUACAUGAAAUCAACAACCAAGUUUUGGUUGCAACAUGGCAUAAGAAAUCUAUUUCAAUCUUAACUGACAAAAACUUUACCAACCAAUAUUUGUUCAGUGAAAGUGUUUUGAAUCUUUGGUCGAUGAAGCCCAUGCUUUUUGUAGUGAGAAAAGAAUUGUUCAACAAUGCAUGUGUAAUCUCACCUUCCAAUUGGUUAUUGGUAAGAUAGACAUGACAAAUGCUUGAUGCUUUGAAGCAAGAUGGGAUUGAGCAAGAUAAGUUGUACUCUAAUGAAUCUAAGAAGGGACAAAAUAAUCAAGGUUGAUAUUAAUUAUUUCAAGUCAAUGUUACUAGAUGGUACACAUCGAUUUAGCACAUUUUUGGACAUGUUUAUUAAUUAAAUUUGAAAAAACCACACUUAUAUUAGUUGAAAUAUGUCCAAUAAAUUUAUUAUUAGAAAUAUCAAAAGUCUCCAUAUUGAGAUUGGUACUUGCUUGCAACUUGAGAGUUCAUCUAAGCAGUGUCUCUGAAGCAAACUCCUCUGAGUCUAGUGUCGUUCUUUAAGAACGAAGUGGAAAAUUUCUCCAAGUUACGUGAGAAAUCAAGAAUUAUCUAAUCAGUCUAAUAGUGAAGAAAGUGAGUCAGAGUUAGAUGGCAAUUCAACAAACUGAAAACCUCUCUUUGGAAGUUAGGUACCCAAUUUCAUAGCUUAGUACUUGCUAUUACUUCAUUUUCUUCUCCGAAUAUGAAACAUAGAAUUGAAUGAUUAAAUAAAGCCUCAAAGGAAGUGGGCCCGUAAAAGUUGUUAAUUGAAAUGGAAAGAUAUUCAAGUGAGGUGAGUUUUGAAAGUAGAGACAUAACAAUAUAUCCACAGAACUUAUUCCUCGAGGCCACAAUCAAUUGAAGAGAUUUUUUUUUUAGACAUGAUGGAAGUAAUUCUACAUACUCAUUUUCACUCAAAUCGAGCUCCGUGAGUUUACUAAGUUGACAAUACCUUUUUAAAUUGAACACUACCCAUCCAAAUAAAGAUAAGGAAAGUUGGGGUUAAUUACAAAAUUCUUAUGAAUAAAGUUAGCCUUCCUUCCAAUACAAAUUGAUACUCAGCUUCAUUUUUAUUUGUCCUUUCAUAUUAUUUUAGAUUUACUGGUAACUUGAGAAAUUAUUUUCUUAACAAAUCUAAAUACAACUACAUCCUUCGAGAGAGAUAUAUAUACACAUGCUUCUAGAUAACAAAAUAAUAAUAUAUGUAUGUGUAUAUAUAUGCUUGUUCACUUAGCAUUUAUCACACUUUUUUCUUUGUCAAACAAAUAAAGAAAAAAUUCAAUUGAAAUAGAAUGCAAAUAGCAAAAUUCAAAUAUGAAAAUAGAUAUAAUUGAAGAAAAACACAUGAUGAGGUUCGUGUGGAGGAACGACAUUUGCAUACAUAGAACACUUGGAUGGUUGGCUUUCGAAGAAAUUGGCAUAACUUUCGUAUAUAUACACGUGCUUCUAGAUAACAAAAUAAUAAUAUAUGUAUGUGUAUAUAUAUGCUUGUUCACUUAGCAUUUAUCACACUUUUUUCUUUGUCAAACAAAUAAAGAAAAAAUUCAAUUGAAAUUGAAUGCAAAUAGCAAAAUUCAAAUAUGAAAAUAGAUAUAAUUGAAGAAAAACACAUGAUGAGGUUCGUGUGGAGGAACUGGCACUUGCAUACAUAGAACACUUGGAUGGUUAGCUUUCGAAGAAAUUGGCAUAACUUUCGUAUACGGUGUCCGUUUUAGGCCCAUAACUCCAUUUCGCAAAGCUUGCGACGAUUCUGAAUGAAUUCAUCGCUUUGCUAUGAUGUAUGAUGGAUUUUGAUCGUUUGAAUUCAUUUAGUGGGUCAAAACAGUAUUUAAAGUUUCUUAGUUUAUUAUUUUCAGUAUUUGUAAAUUUCGCUUUCUAGCCCAGCCCGUUAAUGGACUUCUGGUCCAGUAUGUUGUUUGUUCUUUUCGUAUUUAAGGCCCUGAAGAUGCCUCUUAGGUUUUUUCGAUUGUUCAUGAAAUAAGAAAAUGUUGGUUUCUUGAGUUCAAUCCGUUUGAGUUAUUAUUAUCAUGUGUUUGUAGAUUCGAUCUACAUCAACACACAUAAACACAGAGAGAAACUUAUCUAUGUGAUGGUCCUCACAAAUAUAUAAAUAAAAUCUUUAGAGAUUGGGAGGUGAAAAAUUAACUUAGUUGGGAAGGGUGUAAUUGAGUCUUCUUCCAGGCAAAGAGAAAAACCUUUAGAAAAGUCAUUACUUCAAUGCUUUGAAGAAAGUUUACAUCUAGAGGAGAAGAGUCCAAAAACGAUCCCUACAAGAUACACUUACUUUUUGUAACAAGAAAUAGCAAACUGAAAAACAGGUUGCACAUUCUCUUUGACAAAAUGUGACUCAAAAGUAAUGCACAUAUUCUAUACAUGGAGCAAAAAGAAUAAAUAAAGAGGCCCUAAUAUUAAUAUUUCUAUUAAACUAAUGUGUAGCGGAAUUGAUCUUCAUUUGGUGGAAUCUGGCUCAAUAUACCAAUCUCAGCCUUAUCAAAACACCUAAGCAAUCAUGACCAAAUCCCUUCAACUAUUCCACACUCUAGUUGCUUUUAAUUAUACCCACUUACGACACAAAAGGAAAGGUGUUUUGCAGCUACAUAGGCGGUGCCAAAAAGGAAAAGAGAAGACAAUAGAAGACAAAGGCACGAAGAAGAUGAUGAAGGAGUGACCUUGGUUUUCUUAUCAACAAAGGGGCAAAACACACAUUUGUUACAAAGCUACAAAGGGGCAGCAUAUAUAUAGGAUAUGUUAGGGCAUAGUUAUAGGCCAAACCCAAUAUAGGUACGUUAAGUGGGCCGAGUAUAGUAAGCCAUCUAAUGAGUUAGAACUGGGCCAUGAGCAACUCUAAUUAAUCAGAUUGCUUCUAAUGGCUCCUAAAUAGUUUUAGGAUCGGGUCAUCAAUCUUAGGUGUUGACAUUUAAUUUAUCCAACAUUGGUUUAACAUUAUCGCCCGAGAUUUAUUAGUUAUCAAAAACCUAUAAAAUCUCUAUCUUGAUGUUCAAUAAAACUACAAGCAUUCAAAGUACACAUUUAGUACUUGUAUAAUCAAGAUAACCAAUAAAAUUGAAAUCACAGACCUUACCUCGUGUUUCGGACCCGAAACACAUACCAUACCUACUCAUGUCCUUACUAGGGCUAAGAUCAUAAACAAAUACCUAAGUAGAAGUCCAUAGUCACAGUGAACAAUCAAGAGCAAAUAAUCAUGCGAUGAAGAUAUAAUUUUGAAUAACUCAUUGUUCUUUUUUUGAAACACAUUUACAUAGAACAAUAAAUUAAUACUAAGUUAAUCAACAAACGGUCAAAACAUAUGCAACAAACUGCAUAAAUGACCUUAUGAAAAUAUCUCAUCCUAUCACAUUCCAUAUUGCUUACACCUCAAGAACACACAUCUCCUUUUAUCGCCCACCAUACUCACUAGAUUGAUCAUUCAAUUCAUGUCUAAUUGGUAAACAAGCUUACGUCAUUAUUAGCCACUCAAAUUGAAGAGCGGGUACUAAUAUUUCAGAUUGACUCAUAGUGAUCAUUUAUCAAAGAACGACUCUAGUUAUCAAAUGAAUCUCAAGAUAUGAUUAUUAGACUCUAUGUAUUAAUAUAUAUAUAUAUAUAUAUCCUAUGUCUAUGGGACAAUUAUCUAUCUCUACAUCAUUCUCCUAUCAUACGUGGAUAAUGGAUCUCCACCAAACAAAUUGAUAGAAGUGUCUCUCUCAUACUCCAUCUGAUCAGGAUCUUUUCACAAAUAAAUGAUUCCAACAUUUAAUCAUCUCUCCACUCGUAAUCUAAAUGUCACACUCAACAUCUCUGAUACAAAUCAUCAAUAUACCCCUAAGCAUCUAUACUGCACCUCACCAAUAGACACACAGCACACUACUAAUACAUCCCAACCCACUAUGCAUGCAAACAAUUACACCAAGUAAUAAAACCAUUCCAAAUCAUUCAAUUACACACUGAAAAUAAUUAAAAGUGUCAUGUAUCAAUGUAAAAGAGUUAAGCAAUCAUACACAUGGAAAAAAGAAUUACACAGAGAUGCAUAUGCAGUAACUAGGAUUACUCUCAAUAAACCUCACUAGGGUCAUCACUCGACCCUAUAGCCACAUUCCCCUCUCCUUUCAUCUUAUCCUUCUGCCCAUCCUUCUUUUUGGGAUAGUCUCUAAUAAACAAUCUACUACUAGACUUGUCCUGUCCCUUGCAUUCUUCUUACCACCCUAAUCAUUCAAGUCACUACUCGAAUCACUACUAUCUUGAGCUCUACCCAAAUUCUAUUGCUUAAAUUUUAUUCUAUUCCUCAUCAUAUGCAUCUCACUACUCCUCGUAUCUUCUUUUUUAGCCUUAAUCUCCACCCCUUACUCUUAAGGUAAUCUAUGGCAAUCUAGGGUGUUCAGGUGUUCCUACCGUACUUAAUUGCAUUCUUAACCUCUAUAUAUUAAUCAAGCAUUGAAUUAAGCAAAAUAAUGGUCUUAUACAUUUUAGACUCAUUUUCAUAACAGUUAACGAUGUCUUGAACAAGUUUGUUGAAAAAUCCAAAUUUUAAUCAAGUACCUUUGAAAGAUCCAUUUUAAAACUGAAAAAUCAUUCAAACAAGUACAGUUUAUUUGGAGUGGAUUUAAGCAAAUAUAAGUUCGCUAGCUUUAGCCAAAGUUCUUUUCUAGAAUCAAGUUUUUCAAUUUUUCUCAAAACAGUAAGUGUAAUAUAAUUGAAGUGUAAGAAAGUUCAUCAUAUUCUUCCUUUUGCACUUCCAUUAAAUUAGCAAGAAAUUUGCCAUCUAUAGCUUUUAAAACAUUUUGUUGAACCAAAAUCUUCUUCAUCUUUUGUUGCCAAAUUGAAAAAUCACAUUUUCCAUUGAAAAUUUCAACUUUGAAAUGUGAAGACAUCUUAAAAAUAUAGAACGGCCAAAGUGCACAAAUAGGUUACAAAAGUAAUCCUAAGGUGUAGUUUACACCGUUCUAAAUUUUCAAGGUUUCAUGAGAUUCACGAUCUUAGAUCAAGGGAAUGUUCAAACGGCUCAAGUCCAGGUGUUCUAACAAGAUAAUCAAUGCAACAUGAAGGUAUGUUAACAUAAAAAUUCAAAUUUCUCAUAUAAUGCAGGCAAUUAAACAAAGAAGCAAUUAUUAUCUUGUAGUUAAAUCCGACACUUGAAAUAGAGCAAGUAAUUCCUAAACUUCUAGUACAAUCGAUGCGUAACCCCAGUUAUAAUGUUAUCCCCACACGAUGACGCACUAAUGCUAAAAUUUAAAUUGUGAUAAGCCAAUAUACUACAGCGGACCAAUUUGAGUCUAUAAAUUACAAAAAAUGUAAAUUUGUCACUUUGGGACCAUCACUAUCCAUCCUAAAAUCUCUAGCAACUAUAGCAACCAAUCGAGUAGAAAAGUGAAUUUCGGACGCAGAAGGAUAAAAUCAACCAAAUUUCACAGCGGCACUCAAAAUUGAAAAACGAACACCACCACAAAGUCUAUCUCAUCGUCCGAAGGAAACUACUUGAAGAAACUGUCGCCUGAAAAUUGCUUGACACGCCGUCAAGCGCCUUCGCUAGACUCCUAUGUACCGACCACCACGUACAAUCAACCCAGGAGCACCUCCACCUACAGAGUCCAUCGCUGGUCUUGGUUUCUCCACUAAGUAAGUGGUUUCACCGAAAAUUGAAGAAACGGGUCCAAACAAAAUUUAAAAAAAAAAAACUACCUGCUUCUGUUUCGAUUUUCUAUUGAAUUUCAGUACAGUAUCUAUUCAAUUUUUGGCCAAAAAUCUGCCACUGACAUGGCCCUGAUACCGAAUGUAGCAGAAUUGAUCUUCAAUUGAUGGAAUCUGGGCUCAAUAUACUAAUCUCGACCUUAUCAAAACACCUAAGCAAUCACAACCCAAUCCCUUCAACUAUUCUAUGCUCCAAUUUCUUUUAAUUGUACCCACUUAGGAUACAAAAGGGAAGGUAUUUUGCAGCCACACAGGCAGUGCACAAAGGCAUAGAGAAGACAAUAUAAGACAAAGGCAUGAAGAAGAUGAAGGAGUAGCCUCGAUUUUCUUCUCAACAAAGGGGGCAAAACACACAUUUAUUACAAAGCUAUAGAGGGAUAGUAAAUAUAUGUAUAGUAUAUGUUAGGGCAUAGUGAUGGGCCAAGCCCAAUAUAGACAUGGUAAGUGGGCCAAGUAUAGUAAGCCAUCCUAUGAGUGAGGAAUUGGGCCAUGAGCAACUCUACGUAAUUAGACUGCUUCCAAUGGCUCCCAAAUAGCUUUAGGAUUGGGUCAUCAAUCUUAGGUGUCGACAUUUAAUUUAUCCAACAUCGAUUUAACAUCAUCAUCUGAGAUUUUUUGGGUAUCAAAAAUCUAAAAUAAUGUUUGAUACUCAACUACUAUUUUAGAAAUCUAGAGCCAUUUUGCUCCUUAAUAUUUUUCUCAUACAAAAACAUUUAAUUGUGUAGCAAAUCACAUUCCCAUUUAUUAAUACAAGUACAGAUAAUUGAAAAUCAUUUCAUAAUUUUAUGAUUGAAUAUGCAUAUAUAUGGCCAUCUUGGCUUCCUACCAUGCUGUUAUAUUUGGCUUCACUAUUUCGUUACUUUUGAAUUAUCAAAUCCAGAAAGAAAAAUGACAAAAUUGAUUAGAUUUAUUGUAAAUAUCUAUUAGUUAUAAAGUUAGCAUAAUAUAUAAUGAUCUUCAUAUAGAAUUAAAGUAGAUACCAUGAUUUGGAUUAUGGGAAUAUUGUCCAGAACACACAGCCUAGAAAAUGGAUUAUGUAAACCUCAAUGGAAUGAAACCAUGCUUUUCUCCGGUGAGGAUUUAAGAUAGAAAAAAUAUGGGUUCGUUUAGUUAGCGUUUUUGUUUUCUAUUUUCAAUUUUGAAUUCAUUUUCUAUUUUCUAUUUUUCAGGGAUUAUUUUAUGGUUACAGAAAAAGUGUUUGGCUUAUCAUUCUGAAAAACUGUUUCUCAAAACAAAAAAGUUAAAAAAAUGUGUUUGGUUUGAAAACUUUAAAAAUAGUUUUAUGAUAUUUUGGAGGAGCAUGGGAAAAGAGAGAUAGAGAGGGGGAGGGAUAUUCAUAUUUGAGCAAGUUUUGUGUAAUUUUAUUAAUUAUUUUAAUUUGAGAACACUUUAAGCUCAUUUUCCUUGUUUUGAGUUUUUUGAGUGUUAAAUUUGGGAGUAAAAUUUGACAAUUAGAAAGUCUGAAAUCUAAAUUACAUAUUUUUGAAAUUUAAGAUGGGCCAAUUUUUUGAAUUAUUAUGAAGUUUUAGGGACUGAUAUUGAAGAUUUUGGAAAUUUCAAUAUCAAAAUUGAAGAUUAUAAUGAAAAAGGACCAAAAUCGUAUAACAACAUUAUAUGGGGACCUAAUUGAAAAUUUAAGGGUUGACAACGGUCCAGUACAAACCACUUUUUUGCAUAGGUAGGAUUCAUCUGAUACGGUUGCUGAAUUUUUGCUAUUUUUAAGUUUUCCCGUUCGCCGUUAAUUCAUUUUCAAGGCAUAACUACCGAAAUUUUUCCACCCUAUAAAUUGACAAUGUUUGUGACAUAAAAAGAGUUUCAUCAUAUAAAAUUAGAGAGAAGAGAGAGAAAAACUGAAGCAAAAAUCAAGAAACCAAGAUUUAUAGUUCUUAGCUUGGGAGGAGAAUAUUCUUUGUACGUGAUCAUCAACUUUUUCUCAUUCAUCCUUCAUAACUAAUGAGGUAUUUCAAUUUUUUCUUGGUGCAAGAUUAUUAAAUUAAUAUUUACCUUUUCUUCUUCGUAACCGAUUUGCCAAUAUCAAAUUUGUUGUGUGCUUUCUUCAUGUUGAUACUUGUGCCAUACUUAUCAAUGACGAUUUCACUAGAUUUUCACUUUUAUUUGAAGAAAAUUGAAUUUCAUCUUCACAGUACCCAAAUUCAACUGUUCUAGUUCUUUACUGUUACUCAAGAAUUUGUAAACUCUUGGGUUUUGAUACACAAUAAUACGAGCGAUGAUGUUAAACCAAUGUUGGAUAAAAUAAAUAUCGGCACCUAAGAUUGGUGGCCCGACCCUAAGUCUAUUUGGAUCAUUGGAAGCAACCUAAUUAAUUAGUGUUGCUCAUGACCCGAUUUCUACACUCAUUGGAUGGCUUAUAUAAGUUGCCCCACUUACCAUAUUUGUAUUAGGCUUGGCCCCAUCACUUUAACCUAAUCUAGCCUAUAUAUGCUAGCCUCCUUUAUUUUGCCAUUAACUUGUGUUUUGUCUUGUCUGAGAGAGAAUCGAGUUUGCCUCUUUACUUUAUGCUUUCCCUUGACCGUGCAUUCUUGUUCUUCACUUGCCUUUUGUGGCUGCAAACACCAUCUCUUUGUGUCCUAAGUGAGUACAAAUCUUGAGCAACCGGAGUGUGGAAGAGGUUUAAGUUUUGGAUCGUGGUUGUUAGGUAUAUUGAUAAGGUUGAGAUUGGUAUCUUGAGCUCGAAAUUCCAAAAAUUAGAGUUCGAUUAUUCAACAAUUGGUAUCAGAGUGAGGUUAUUCAUGGAUUUCUAGCCCAAAAAUGAUCAAAAACUGACUUACAAAUUGGCAGAAGAUCAUAAAUCGGAUCUGUCCAGUUGAAAAUUUUUUCUGCCAGAUCUGUUUCUUCGUUUUUCGGUGAAACUGCUUACCUUUUGGACAAACCAAGAUACCGACGUGUUCAAGAGAUCAAGGCGCACUAGAGUGGAUGGCCCAUGGCUGGAUCGAUGGCGCUUGACAACUGGCGCAUGAAUCUCCAGCGUGGGUGCAUGGCAGCUCUUCCGGUGAUGGUGUUUUUAGGAGUUUUCUCUUGCUGACAAGAUGGACCCUUUUGGGGUGUUCGUUUUCUGUUUUGUGUGCUAUCAGUUUUCUCUGGAGACAAGUGGUGUUCGUUUUCAGUUUUGUGUGCUAUUGUAAAAUUUGGACGAUUUUACCCCUGCAUGUUCGGGAUUCAAUUUUGUUCAAUUGGUUGCUGGUGACUUUGGGGUGAAUAGUGAUGGUCCUAAAGUAACAAAUUCGCAUUUCUCAUAAUUUACGGACUCAGAUAGGUCCGCUCUAGUAAAUUGGCUAAAACCUUUAUAUUAUCGCACUAGCAUAUCAUCAUGUGGGGUGAUCAUUAAGAUUGGGGGUUGUCAAAAUUCCCUUGAUCUAAGAUCGUGAAUCUUACGAAACCCUGGGAAUCUAGAAUGGUGUAUAUUACGGCCUUAGGAUUACUUUGUGUCACGUAUCUGUACAUUUAUUUAUUUAUUUUUCCCAAAACUAUCUUCACAUUUUGAAGUUGUUAUUUUCAAUGGGAAAGGGGAUUUUUCAAUUUGGCAACAAUAGAUGAAGGGGAUUUCAGUUCAACAAAAAGUUUCAAAGGCCAUAGAUCACAAAUUUCCUGCAAAUUUGACAGAAACACAAAAAGAGGAAUAUGAUGAAUUUGCUUACACUUCGAUUAUCUUAUAUUUAUCUGAUACUGUUUUGAGAAAAGUUGGGAAACAAAAUUCUACACAAGAACUUUGGAAAAAGUUGGAGUACUUAUAUUUGCUUAAGUCCACUGCUAAUAAGUUGUACUUGCUUGAAAGAUUUUUGAGUUUCAAAGUGGAUCCUUCAAAGGAUCUUGAUGAUAAUCUGGAUACUUUUAAUAAACUUGUUCACGACAUUGUUAACUGUGAUGAAAAGGUGUUUGAAAUAUAUAAAACAAUUAUCUUACUUAAUUUCAUGCUUGAUUCAUAUAAAGAGGUAAGAAUACAAUUAAUUACAAUAGGGAUACUAUAACACCUGAGAUUAUCAUAGACUCACUUAGGAGUAAGGACAUUAAAACUAAGGCUGAAAAUGAGGACAAGGAGUAGGAUGAAGUUUAAGUAAAUGAAUUUGGGUAGAGCUCAAAAUAGUGGUGAUUUGAGUAGUCACUCGAGUGAUGAAGGUAGUAAGAAGAAAGGCAAGGGACUGGACAAGUCUAGUGGUAAAUGAUAUUACAGCUAUAGUAAGUGUGGACACUUUAUUAGGGACUGUCCCAAGAAGAAGGAUAAGCAGAAGGGUAAUGUGAUGGGAGAGACGAAUGUGGUUGAGGGUUUGAGUUGUGAUCCUAGUGAGGUUUAUUGAGGGUAAACCUAGUUACUGCAUAUGCAUCUUUGUGCGAUCCUUUCUUCAUGUGUGUGAUUGCCUAAUUGUGUUACAUGAUUAUAUGUUGCAUUUCAAUUUGUUUGAUAUGUGUGUGUGCAUGAAUUUGAGGUAAUGUGAUUAAUUGAUGUGAUUGUUUGCAUGUAUAGUGGGUUAGGAUGCAUUAGCAGUAAGUUGUAUGUCUUUUGAAAAGGUGGAGUAUAGAUGCCUAGGAGUACAUUGUGGUUUGUAUCGGGCAUGUGGAGUGUGAUAUUUGGAUCGCGAGUGGAGAUGUGAUCAAUGUCUAGAAUCCUUUAUUUGUGAAAGAGACCCUCUAAAUGUGGAGUGUGAGAGAGGCACUUCUAUUACUUCGAUAAGGUAGAGAUCCAUUAACCACGUGGGUUAGGAGAAGUGAUGUGGUGAUAGAGGAUCAUCCCGAUAGCUUAGGUCUAUUGUGACUUGACAGUUAGACAUGAGUUGAGUGAUUAUCUGUUGAGCAUAGUAGGCAAUGAGAUAUGUGUUCUCGAGGUUUGAGUAACACGAAAUGGGAUAUGAUAAGUGUGGUGAAAUCUUUUGUAGGGUCAUUUAUGCAUUUGUCGCAUAUGUAUUUGACCCUGUGCUGAUUAACUUAGUGUUAGUAUUUAGCUCUAUGUGAACGAGAUUUUAAAAAAAUCUGUACAUUAUCCUAUAUAAUAUUUUCAUCGCAUAAUUAUUUGUUCAUUGUGAAUACUAAUUCCUACUUGGGUGUUUUUGGGACCUUAGCCUUGCUGAGUACAUGGAGCAAGUAUGGUAUGUGUUUCGGGUUCGAAACACGAGGCAAGGUCAGUGAUACCAAUUUUAUUAGAUUACCUUGAUUGUGCAAUUAUAAACUUUGUGUUUUGUUUGCUUACAGAUUAUUGGACAUCAAGGUGGAGAUUGGUAUCCUGAGCCUGAAACUUCAUAAAUUGGAGGUCGAUUAUUCAACAAAAACAAAAAUCCAAAUUCGUAGAAGGUGAAUAGCCACUCCCUUUUGUUCCAAAGUCGGUGAAAUUUGCUCUUUUCUACAUGAAUUUGUUUACUGCAAUCAAUGAAAGUUUGCAUAACUAAUUGUACAUUACUUUUCAUUUUUUAAACAAUUACCGAAGGCAUUUAGCUUAUUAAGUGACUAAAACAUUGUACAUCAUUAAGUACUCGAUUAAGACUAACAAGAUGCAUUCACGUUAGUGAUGUAUUUUAUUUUUUGACAAAGGCAGAUUGCUAAAAGAUCACAAUUAUAUAUAAAUGGACAUAAUGGUUAGGGUAAUGAGCACAAACUAAUCCAAAUAGGUCAAACCGUCAAGCGUGAGUUGGUCUUUUUAAUUCAAUCGAGUUGGGUUCAGGUUAAGAAAUUCAAUUUUAGAUAGGUCGGUUCAAGUCUUGGGUUAUUCAUUAAAAUUUAAUCAACCCAAUCCAACCAAACCUAAUCCAGUAAAUAAAAAAGUGUUAAAGAAAAAUAGUACUUAGAAACCAAAAAAUCAAUUUCAAACUUUUCAGUUUUCAAUUUUCUUCUGUGCCUCUCGUCUCUUCCACCUCUCAUCUUCUCUCACUUCUGCUUGUGCCUCAGUCUCUCAUCUCAAUUUUUUGAUGUGAUUUUUGUACUAAAUGCUUGGAUUGAAAGACGAGAUUCCCAAUUACAAGGUUUGCUGAACUUAUAAUUUAAAGUUGCUAUUUAAUUAUCCAACUUGAAGGAAUUGUAUGGUGUAAGCAUAUGCUAUUGAUUUUUUCCAGUAUAGUUGACAAUCCCAUUCUUUAGAAUAUAUCCCUUGAAAUUUGAUUUUAAAAAAUAUGUCUACCGAGAGAAUAUUCAAUUGAUCACUGGAGGUAACCUGGUUAUUGUUUAUAUCAUUAAAUCCGUAUAAAAAUUACGCACCGACAGCCGGAAACGAUUCUAUAUUUUAGUUUGGACGUCAAAAUUCUGAUAGUUGAAUUAAUAUUUGGGUUCUGUGUUUUGCUUUCGGGAGUUCUUAAUUGUUUGAAAAAAAGAAGAAAUAAAUAAUUGUGACUGUUGUAUAUUCAUUUAGCUCACUUUGGUUUAAUUUGUUCAUUUUUGUUGUUGUUGUUGUUUAAAAAAGUUGAUCAAUAAUAUCCAACAAAGAUGGUAACUGAUAUUAAUUGGUUAGCAACAUUAUAUCAUUAUGAAGUUGAUUACAUUUUAAUUUUAGUCAGAAUGCCUUGUAAAAUUAAUUGAUGUUAGACUAAAUAGAUACAUUACUGGAGACAAAAGAAUGGCUUAAAAUGUAUAAUUGUUCCUUUUUCUAAGCAUGGUUAGUUGCAGGAAUACUAUGUACAAAUGCAAAGUUAUUUGAUGAUAAACAAAAAAUUAUUGGCAAGAUGAUGAUAUGAAUGAAUCCCAAAAAAACUGUAAAAUAAAUAAAUAAUGUUCCAUAAGUCUGGUGUUUAUCUUCUUAUUUUGCCAUCACAAAAAAAGCGAUUCGUAUUUUAUCUUUGACUUCUGGACUGCAAUAUGUCUAACGAAUAUGGAAGAUGUAAAUAUGAAUACCAUGAGAAUGACUUAAUGUAAAACAGUGCACUUGCAGUACAUUAUGAGUAGAUAUAAGAUUGCAAUUGGAAGUGCACGAAUAUAAUAAAUGUUAUUAUCAGUGUUUGUGCAUUGUGACUAUUAUCCUUUUGUAUAGUUUGGAGCUUCCAACCACACAUCUAUUGAAGUUUGUAAAGUACAUAUUCUUUAAAUUCAGUUUAUUUCAUGAUGGUAAUAAUCUUUUUUUCUCGUGGUGAUACUAAUGCAAGUUAACGUGUUUUGUUGUUAUUUGCAAAAGCCUUAAGUAAAAUGGACACGGGUGCAAUAUUCUUGCUUUCUUAUGGUGCAUUAAUACUUUUGUAGUUUUAUUUGUAUGAUUAGUACUUUUUGGUGGACUAUGUUGGUAGAUAUCAAUAUGUGUGAAGAAAAUGACAUGGCAGCUCAAUUAUAUGACACAUAUAUGCUAUCAAGUCUUCCUCCACAUCCACUAUCAACAUUAGGAAAGUGAAAAUCUAAUGGACUAGAUUCAUGUGUCUAGGAUUUCUUUGCAUUAUUGGGUCCAAGGGAUGAUUCAAAUGUUAGGCGUAAGUGUAACUAGUGUGGAGUAGAUUAUGCUUGUGGCCAUAAGUAUGGUACAAGCACUUUGGGUAACCACUUCAUGGAUAAUUGUAAGAAGUAUUCUGGUCUAUUGCAGGAUAAGAAGCAAAACAUCAUAUCUUUUGGGAAUCGAAAAGAGGGUAAUGGGAGCAAUCUUAUAGCUAUUGGUCAUAGUAAGGAAGAGGUCAGAGUUGCAUGUGCUAAGAUGAUAAUACUAGAUGAGCUACCUUUUAGGUUUGUUGAAGCUCUUGAAUUUAGACUCUUGUAGUGUAACAUGUCCUCAACUUCAGACCCCAUCGUGUAGGACUCUCAUUAGAUACAUUUAUCAAUUAUAUUUGAAUGGAAAACUUAAAUUAAGAGAUGUCUUUUGUUUCCAACUAUUAUACACCAAACUGAAGUCAUCUAAGGAGUUUAACUUGAUCAAUCCAUUAGGGAUUGUCCAUCAUAAGUUGAUGUAGGAGAUAUCCAAACUAUUGAAUUGACGUACAUUUGAGAAUGUUGAUGGAAUUGUCCCACUAAGAUUGUUGUGGGACAAGUUCAGUUCACGAGUCUCCCUUAACUCUCCAUGUUCAUCUGAAACUUCACCAUAUAAUUUAUAAAUAGAAGAGAGAUCAAUUCUUGAUGUGUGGUUGAGGAUACUACCCUUGUAAGAAUACAAAUUUUUCUUUAUUGUAAUGUUACCAUAAUUUGCCCAUCCUUGAAUCUGAAUUCUUCUACUUUUUGGAGAGACACAUGGCAGGCCCUUUCAAACUCAAUCCAAUCCAUGCUUUUUAAGGAGUUUUUUUUUUAAUACUAAUUUUAAUCUUUUGAUAGAGGCAUCCCAUCGUGUAUUGGAUCUUCAUUCAAUCCUCUUCGUUUUUUGUAGCCAAACUUUAUGGUUCUUCUUUACUCAUAAGGGAAGGAAGUACUCAGCUUCUUUUUACAAUGUCGAAAGAUUCACUUCGGAACAUUACCAUUUUCACUUGAUAGUUGUCCCCCAAUUUUGCCAAGGCAUCCAUCAUUGUCUAUAUUCUCUAGAGAGAGAUGAAAAUGAGGUAAACUCAAAAUUGCCUUCCUCCAAACCCGUUGUUAACGCCGAAGAGGCACCAACCCAACAAUGACCUGAAUGUGACUAUUGAGGAAAAGGUAUCUCCCUGAACCCUCAUAGACAUUAUCUCAUUUACCUCUAGUGUUAUGUUACCCAAAUAGUGUGGCAUCUGACCACUAAGGCUAUUCUAAGAUAGGUCUACAUGCCAAUCCUUAUUUGGUAUAAUUGGUAAGGAAUUAUGCCUUCAAAAUGAUUGCCUCCAAGUAGAAUAAUGCUCAAGAUUGCUAGAUUGCCAAUCCAUUGAGGGAUACUUCCUAUGAAUUUAUUCUCUCUAAGAUCCAUUGUCACCAAAAUGAAUUGUUAAACAAUACAUGAGUAAGAGCACCUUCCAAGUGGUUAUUGUUAAGAUAGACCAAACUUAUGCUUGAUGUAUUGAAACAAGAUGGGACUGAGCCAGAUAAAUUGUUCUAUGAUAAAUCUAAGAGGCCAAAAGUAUCGAGGUUGAUACUAAAAAUUUCAAGUCUCCGUCACUAUAUGGUAUAGUUAGGAAUUUACUUAUACAUGCACAAUGAAAUUUAAAAAUAAUUUUAGUUCCCCUCAAGGAUCUUCUUUUUAUAUAGAUAGCUAUCGUGAUUAAAAUUUUACAUUUAGCAAGUCCUUCAAACCCGUUUGAGAAUUUUGAUAAUAAACAAUCAAGAUCUUUGUACCCCUUCGUGAGUCAUGAUCUUUUUAUACCACAUUUGUCUAAUUGUCUAGCCUCUGAGGGUAAGCUGUACACGAGAACCAACAUAAGAGAUUUUGGUUUCUCUUUCUGGUAAGUAUAAAUAUAUGUUUAUGCAGUUUACCCACCAUUAAACAUAAGCUAGUCAAAUAUUUAAUUCAAAAAAUUUGUAAAUGCAUCAUUUGAAAAUAUUAUUUCAGGUUUUACUAGGUAACGUUGAAAAUACCAAAAAACUAUCUUGAUUAUGAAAUACAUUAAAAAUUACCGUUUUCCACAAAUAGAACCCAAAAAAAAAAAAAAAAUCAAAUAAAUAAUACUAAAAAUACUAUCUUGUAACUGAAAUGUUUUAAUACUCCAUCCGUCAUGCCUCCCAUUAAACAACUCUUCCUAAAAAAGAAAAAACACUUCAAAAAUCUGAUUUGAUUGAAGAAGAAGAAAGGCUUUCGUUGAAUGACCACACCGUGAUUGUUACAAUUGAUGGGAUCAUAGAAAUUGCCGUAUCUACAACCGAAAAUCUCCAUCUCGAAAGAGAUAUUUCACACUAUGAAUCAGUAUAUUUAUGAUAAUAUCUCAGAUUUGGGAUAUGUUUUUCACCUAGUUCAUAUGCCAUUUGUUCAUUUGGAAAAAUAUUUUAGGGAUUUGUUUAUAUACACGAACUUUCGUUUAAUCGAUAGAAGAAAGUGAAAGAAAAAAAAAGGAUUACCUAGAAAUUAUUCUAAACAUUAUGCAAGUUUGGUGAAAGAUUUUAGAGUUUGAGUGUCAUAAAUUGUUCUUGAUAUGUCUUCAUGUCUGGGUACUACACAACUCGUGAAAUCUAUAAAAUUCGAAUGCAUUGUUCGAAACCCCUGAUACUAGAAUGUAUUGACAUAUGUUUUAAUUUCUGAUAUGUUUCAAAUUUACCAUGGAAAUUCUCCUGCAUAUUGACCAACACCAUGUGCAUGUUACAAAUAUGUAGUAGACAUUAUACAUCCAUUUAGCUUGAUACGAUUAUACGAUAUUUGAUUUCGAAUAAUUUUAAGCUAAUAUGAAUAAUAUAGUCAUCCCUGUUAUUGUAUCGCAUGCAGAGAUCACGCAAAUGUAGUUGUAAUAAAUGGAAUGAACACAUUUGGGCUACUCACACCAUUUGACACGGGCGUGUUUAUAGAAAUCAAAAUGUAUUAGAUGUAAAGGAGUCUUUAAAUGAGUAAAAUAUGUUACCUAAUUUAAUAUUCUUUCAAUUUAGAAAUCUUCAAUGUGUUCAUUUUAUUAACAAAAUACAUCAUUUAUUGAAAUAAAAGAUAACAUGUAUUUUUUAAAUAUUUACUACAAUUAAGGUGGGUGGCGUAAUUUUGACAUAUUUAAUUAAUUUAAUUAGUUAAACUUGGUCCAUGAGUUAAUUAAUCUAUUCAAUUAACUGAAGUCCACAUCCAUUAAUAAACAAUUCAAAUAAUUAAUUUUACAAAUGUCCAACACUUUUCAAUGAUUUAAUUUAUAAUAUCAUUCUACUAGUUCUCCCUUUUAUGUGGAACUCUAAGGAGUUCUGAUCACGAUAUCGAAUGACAUGAAUUAUUAUUUUGAUACAAUCAAAAUAAGAAAAAAUAAAUUUCUUUUUAUUUAUCAUUAAUUUUCCUAGUUUAAUUAAUUCACGUUCAUUGUUCCACAAUAUGCAAGGGCAUUACAUGUGAUGGAAAUAUCACGUGGUACAAAAAAAAAAUCAAAUUUGUCCGUUUACCGUUAGAUUAUAAUCCCUUUGUCUAUGUGAUUCGAUCAAUUGUGAGAUAUGAAAGUUUGUGAAUCUCAACUAUAGAUCAUAUCUUUUAUUCAGCUCUUAGGACAAUGAUAAUCGGAACUCUUUACAUACUUACCUUGGACAAUUAUUUCGAUAUCAACUUAACUAAAUGGAACAUAAAUAUAAUCUCUUACUAUCUAAGAGUAUCGAAUUCUCUAUUAAUCAUUCACAACGUUUAUAUGAUUUUUAACAUACUAAAUGAUGUCAUAUUGGUGACUCCUGCUAAAGAAACAUCCAAUGUUACACCCCGCUCAUUUUAGUCAAAGUUAACAAAUUAUUUAAUCAAAGAACAGGGAAAAAUUCAAUGGUUCAAAGUCGGUCAAAAUAAGGGCUUAAGUUGAACAAAUAAUUUAAUGAGACUUAACUUUUAAUCACUAAUACAUAAAAGGGUUAGAGAUAAAAUAAAAUAGGAAUUAAUGGUCUUAGUUCUCUAUUACUAAGGGCUAAAAUUUAUAUUGUAAGAAGACUAAGGAUUUGACUUGCAAUUACAUUGUAUUAAUCUGUUAAAAUAAAAAGGAAAGGGAUUCAUUUUACAAAGGAAGAAACUAGAAGGAGAGAGAAAUCAAGAAAGGGAAAAACGGGAGAAGAAAAGGAAAGAAAGAGAGAAAAAAGAAGUGCUGGUUUUGAUAAUAUUUUGAUUUCCAGAAAGUGCUAUUUCUAUUAAUGGUUUCGGUGAUACUUUCCAAUAUACAGAAUUUGGUGCCACAUUUUAAUAGUCUUGAAAUACAGUGCUAGUUUUGAUAAUAUUUUGAUUUUCUUGGAUUUUUAGUAUGAAAACCAAAUUAAGUAUUAAAUACUGGGAAUUAGUUGUUGAAAUAACUUAUAUAAAGGUGGAUAUGUUAUUAGUGACCCUAAUUGGUAUUAUGACAUUACACUGAUAAUAAGACUCCAAGUUCAGUAAAUUAUUAUUUCUAUUUCUAAUGGUAAGAAAAAUGUUUAAAGCGCCUUUGUGAGGAGAUAUGAUAUCUUGGGAUGAGUGCUUUGGCAUUUGAAUGUGAGGAGAUUAUGAGAAUAUUGAAGUCACGAUCGAUCUACAACUUGUUGAGUGGAAGAACUUAUAUAUUUUCAAAUAUUCAUAGAGUACUUACACUAUUAUAUUACAUGUGAUUAUGUGAAUUAUUUGUUUAGUUACAUUAUUGAUACGGAAAUGUUCUUGCAUUGUGAUAUAUAUGGAAUUCAAAGAUUGUAUAUGGAUUAAUUGUGACCUAGAAUGUGAUACAUGUGAUAUCAGGAUCGACUAGAAGAGUACCCAUAAUUAUAUAUUUCUUAUAGUUCAUAGAGGGAUCUUGGCCAUAUUCUAUCCUACACAGAGUGUCCUGACCUGACAUUGGUCUUCACUGUGUACAUAUAGUUUAUAGAAGGGCCUUGGUCGUGUUCUAGAAUUGAUCUUUGAGAUCCACUUUUUCAUUCAGGAAGGAGGCCAAAGACCCAUGGCGAAAGUGCUUAGCCCGAGGGGGGUAUUACAAAUUUCAAUCAAAUGGUACAUUUUGGGUGGAUUACAUGUGAUGGGAUGAGAUGAUAUUUUACAAAAUUAUGAGAAUGUCUCAUUUUUUGGCUAUAACUAUAUGAAGUUAUCCUGUGAAUUAUUAAAUGACACGAACUCAAUUUUCGAUAAAUAUGUAUAAAUGAGAAAGUAUAAAUAUUUUCAAAAAUUUCACUCACUGGGCUAUCAGCUUAUAUAUUUUCCCAUGAUUUUUCUUAUAGGUAGCAAUUGGUUCUUGAUAGCUUAAAGAGCCUGAUGAUUUUAGAAUUAAAGCUAGACGACAU
rnacentral:lncRNA from 1 species